CUGCAACCAAUUAAGCCGACUAACCCGAUUCUCAGUGUUGGGCUGGUGUGCAAUGGUUGCAAACAGCAUUUCCUUGGUUGUGUUUGUACCUUGUUCUCAAUACAAGGUAUUCUAAGGGACCUUGGAGACAUUU
ensembl:snoRNA SNORA70 Small nucleolar RNA SNORA70